AUACGGAGGGUGCAAGCGUUAAUCGGAUUUACUGGGCGUAAAGCGCGCGUAGGCGGCUAAUUAAGUCAAAUGUGAAAUCCCCGAGCUUAACUUGGGAAUUGCAUUCGAUACUGGUUAGCUAGAGUGUGGGAGAGGAUGGUAGAAUUCCAGGUGUAGCGGUGAAAUGCGUAGAGAUCUGGAGGAAUACCGAUGGCGAAGGCAGCCAUCUGGCCUAACACUGACGCUGAGGUGCGAAAGCAUGGGGAGCAAACAGGAUUAGAUACCCCAGUAGUCC
rnacentral:rRNA from 1 species